AAAAAAAGGAUGUGCUCUGCGCAUAACUCCUCUCACACCUCUGGCCCGUAAAAAGGUCGGGGGUUUGAAUGAGUCCCUUAACCCUUUGUAAACUUUAUACUUUAUGCUUCGGCAGCACGCUCUCUCUCGACCCUUUGCAGGGGUGGGUGGAGUUGGUAAGGCUGCUGGAAGCCCAUUUCUAAAACCAUUUUUAAUUUCAAAUCAUGAAGUCUGAUUACUGUUAAAUUUAAACAAGUUA
rnacentral:misc_RNA from 1 species